rnacentral:lncRNA from 1 species
CAAUGCUAGUUCUUUCCCUCUGAGAUUAUUUCCAAUAUAUCCUACAUAUAACUUGUUUGUGCCUAAUCAUUUGUCUGUUGUCUCCCCCAUUAGCUUCUUGAUGGUAGGGCCUAUUUUCCUUUUUUUACUUCUGGUAUUUCCAUUAAUUAGUACAGUGCUUGGUAUGUAGUAGACACUUAAUAAGUGCUUUUUAACUGAAUAAUAAUAAUAAUAAUAUGACUCAUACAUAGAGUCCUUUCUUUAAUGUUAAAGAGCUUUAUGCUUAUUACCCCAUCUGGGCUUAACAUCCUCCUUGUAAGGUAGGCACCAUUAUUCCAUCCUUUUUCCAGAGGAAGAAACUCAUCAAUCUCCAUUUCUUACUCUGCCAUUGUCCAAAGAACUUUGACAUCAAGAAGGGCAACUGGAUCUCCUUUUUGUUAAAUCCUCUCAUUCCUCUUUAUCAAUUUCUUGCCCCCCCCCCCAUUAAGCCCAUCCACCCAAUGGCUUUUUCACUGAAGCCAGGGACAAGAGGAAAUAGGUAUGAGCUGCUACUUCACUCUAGCAGGCAAAGGAUCUAACAAAAAUAAACAACAUAUAGGAAGCUUCAAAAAGCAUAGAAAAUCCAUUUUUUGUCAUUUAAAUUAAAUAUCAUUUACAUUCUUAAUCAUAGGAGACAUGCUCUGUUCAACCAUCUUUUUUUCAGUUUUUGGUUUUCACCUUUUUUUCUGCAAAAAAAAAAAUUAUUCAUAUGCUUCUGAAUGCUAUCUUUUGAGCACCAUGGCAACCACAUGCUCCUAGUCAAGCCUGCUAUGUAAUUUGAGAGAUUUAACAUUUCCAUCUAAGAAGACACACAACUAAAUAGAACUGAAUAGUUACGUUCAGAUGCAAAAGUGAGAAGAAAAUGGAGGCAAGAAAUGCCAAUAACAGCACUGGAGCUGUAGAGAUCCUGCUCAAAAAUUUAAGUUAUGCUUUUAUUCCUGUUCUAAAUAAUCCUGUAUUAGAUUCAUUACCUAAUUUCAUAUUUUAUCCUUUUCCACAUAUGCAUAUGUAUUUCUCCUCUCCUGCAAUUCAUCACAUGCAUGUUUUCAUGACCAUUUUUAUUAUGAGCUCCUUGAGGGAUGAGACAUCUUCUGGUUCUUUUUCCUAG